CAACACCCACCAACACAAAGUUUGUGCUGAUUGUUUCCAGAAUUCUCUCCUAUCAAUUGCCCUCCAUUCAUCAGAAGGAGCAACAAUGUUCCUGUGGUUAAAUUUGGUGUCCUUUCUUUUAAUGCUCAGAGGAGUCCAGUCUCAAGUCCAUUUGGUGGAGUCUGGAGGAGAUGUGAGAAGACCUGGGGAGUCCCUCCGUCUCUCCUGCCAAACCUCUGGAUUCACCUUUAGUAGUGCCUACAUGCACUGGGUGAGACAGGCUCCAGGAAAAGGACUUGAAUGGGUGGCACGCAUAAACCCUUCCAGUACUACUUACUAUUCAGACAAAGUCAAGGGCCGCUUCACCAUCUCCAGAGACAAUGCCAAAAGCCAGCUGUAUCUGCAAAUGAACAGCCUCAAAGCUGAAGACACGGCAGUCUAUUACUGUACAGGAGACACAGUGAGAGGAAGUGAAUCUGAAGCUUGGUAA